GGACUACUAGGGUAUCUAAUCCUGUUUGCUCCCCACGCUUUCGUAGUUGAGUGUCAGUAUCUAUCCAGGUCGCCGCCUUCGCCUCUGGUGUUCCUCCCGAUCUCUACGCAUUUCACCGCUACACCGGGAAUUCCACGACCCUCUCUAGAACUCUAGUCUCACCGUUUCUGGGGCACUUCUUGAGUUAAGCUCAAGGCUCUCACCCCAGACAAAUAAGACCACCUACCUACCCUUUACGCCCAAUAAAUCCGAGCAACGCUUGCACUCUCCGUAUUACCGCGGCGGCUGGCAC
rnacentral:rRNA from 1 species